rnacentral:tRNA from 1 species
GCGGGGAUAGCUCAGUUGGUAGAGCGCUAGCCUUCCAAGCUGGAUGUCGCGGGUUCGAAUCCCGUUCCCCGCUCGA